rnacentral:snRNA from 1 species
AUACUUACCUGGCAGGGGUUUUACCAUGAUCACGUAGGUGGUAGGCCCAGGGUGAGGCUCAGCCAUUGCACUUGGGUUGUGCUGACCCCUGCGAUUUCCCCAAAUGCGGGAAACUCGACUGCAUAAUUUGUGGUAGUGGGGGACUGCGUUCGCGCUCUCCCCCG